UACGAAGGGGGCUAGCGUUGUUCGGAAUCACUGGGCGUAAAGCGCACGUAGGCGGAUUUUUAAGUCAGGGGUGAAAUCCCGAGGCUCAACCUCGGAACUGCCUUUGAUACUGAGAAGCUUGAGUCCGGGAGAGGUGAGUGGAACUGCGAGUGUAGAGGUGAAAUUCGUAGAUAUUCGCAAGAACACCAGUGGCGAAGGCGGCUCACUGGCCCGGUACUGACGCUGAGGUGCGAAAGCGUGGGGAGCAAACAGG
rnacentral:rRNA from 1 species